UAUAAACUUUCUCCAGGGAGUGGAAAUCUAACAUAUUAUGAAUAUAGCGAUAUUACUAUUAUAGUAAUUACAGAGUCGAUCUGGUAUUCAGGUGCUUGGGUCUUUGCUCAUGAAUAUGUACAAUAACUACAUGAACUAUGUACAUUAUGUAAUAAAUAAAAAGAUAUAAAGGUAGCGUACACAUGAACAAAGACCCAAGCACCUGUGAUUGUGUAAUUUUGUGUAGAAGGGGAAUUAAAUGAUAAAUUAAUUACCUUAGUUUAACUUUUACCAUGCAGUAGUCAGUAGUUGCAUUUAUAAUAAUUUGUUCUUUUUCUUAUUGAUAUUAAAGGAGAAGACCUCAUUCGAGAAUACUUUUAUGGUGGAUACACAAAUCUGGAGAUAUGUGGUAUCCUGCUCUUGCGACACAAAAUAGUAAUAAGUGUGAGACAUCUGAAAAGGAUAAUGGCAAUGAUGGGACUUAAAAGACGGAUGCUGCAAAACACUGUUGAGGCAUCUUGUGUUAUCAUGGAAGAACUGCAGGGAAGUGGUUCUUCUCUUGGAUGUCGUGGAUUACAGCGUCGUCUUUUAUCACAUCAUGGACUUGUGGUUUCAAG